rnacentral:rRNA from 1 species
ACCCGCUGAACUUAAGCAUAUCAAUAAGCGGAGGAAAAGAAACCAACAGGGAUUGCCCUAGUAACGGCGAGUGAAGCGGCAACAGCUCAAAUUUGAAAUCUGGCGUCUUUGGCGUCCGAAUUGUAAUUUGCAGAGGGCGCUUUGGCAUUGGCAGCGGUCCAAGUUCCUUGGAACAGGACGUCACAGAGGGUGAGAAUCCCGUACGUGGUCGCUAGCCUUUACCGUGUAAAGCCCCUUCGACGAGUCGAGUUGUUUGGGAAUGCAGCUCUAAAUGGGAGGUAAAUUUCUUCUAAAGCUAAAUACUGGCCAGAGACCGAUAGCGCACAAGUAGAGUGAUCGAAAGAUGAAAAGCACUUUGGAAAGAGAGUUAAAAAGCACGUGAAAUUGUUGAAAGGGAAGCGCUUGCAGCCAGACUUGCCUGUAGUUGCUCAUCCGGGUUUCUACCCGGUGCACUCUUCUAUAGGCAGGCCAGCAUCAGUUUGGGCGGUUGGAUAAAGGUCUCUGUCAUGUACCUCUCUUCGGGGAGAACUUAUAGGGGAGACGACAUGCAACCAGCCUGGACUGAGGUCCGCGCAUCUGCUAGGAUGCUGGCGUAAUGGCUGU